GCGGUUAAGCACAAGGUGUGUCGCAGGCCUUCCAAGCCUCGCAGAGUAGGGUUCGAUUCCCUCUAACCGCU
rnacentral:tRNA from 1 species